ACCAAAUGACCCCACCACACCAUAUGUUGCAAAUCUGGUUUGUUUUCAUCAUUGGGGGACAUCGUCUUUUCAACGUGUACAAUUCAACUUGGCAAACAUUCUGCGCGCAUCGGCCAUUUGCGACAGUUUUCAACGAAACCCCUGCUUGAUGGCAGCGUGAACUAAAAGCCAAGCUUGUGCUGAUGUACUUCCUUUCCAGUCCAGCAAGCAAGACUAUGAGCGAAGAUUUGAAUUGGAAAUCGAACUAUUUCACUGCAAAGAAAACCAUCAACGUCCAUAAAGAUUCAGAAAUUGGAGACAGUGGAGGAACUACUCGACCUUGACGAGUUGAUAAAAACUCAACCAAGCAAGAAAGAUUUGCUGGCUCAUGACAAAUGAAUUAAUGUCCAAUCUGAACAUGAAGGGGAAAGGGGGAAAAAAAUAGCUUUGCCGAGACGAAGCUGUUGGAUUUAGUCACAGCUAGUGUCUUGGAUACCCAGAAGGGGACCGAAACGAUGGUCCAUGAUGCCAUAAAAAAUAAACUGAAAUAUCCCCCUGGACGGAAGGGAGGAAUAGGAUGGGCAUCACAGGCUAAAUAAAUAAUUAUAUCGAU